CCAUGGUCCCACUCCACAGACAGGAAUUCUUAGGCUCUAAGAGGUGCCUUGAGCCUGCACAGGCACAAGCAGGACCAGGGGCUUGAUCUCAGUGAUGUCACCAGAGAUUUCCAGCUCAAGUAGAUGCAAAGGAGUCAUUGUCUACUCUUCCUUGGAGAGUGAAGACGGAGAGAGCCAUGGACUCUAAUGACUACACACCCGACCAUCUCAGAAAGGCUCCUGUAAUUACUGACUUGAUGUUUAGUUCUUGCUUCAUUCCUGUACCUGAAACUUACACUCUCA
rnacentral:lncRNA from 1 species